AAACCAUAUCAGUGUGAUAUCUGUGGUAAAUCAUUCUCUACCAAAGUAACAUUUUAACUGAUCACAAACGUAUUCAUACAGGAGAGAAGCCAUACCAUUGUGAUAUCUGUGGUAAAUCAUUCACUAUAAAUAGUCAUUUGACUAGACAUAUACGUAUUCAUACUGGGGAAAAACCAUAUCAAUGUGAUAUCUGUGGUAAAUCAUUUUCU